rnacentral:lncRNA from 1 species
GACAAUAAGGAUAUAAUAGGAACAAAAAAAAAAAUUUAAAUACAAAAGUUUGAAUCAACAUGUCAAAGAUGGAUUGUGAUAAACUAGUCAAGGGACUUGUAUCAAUAAACAAUAAUUUGAGGACUAGACCCAAUUAUUGGUUGGAUUUUUGGACCUCUAUCAACUUUUCUAUAUAAAAAAAUCACAAAAUGUUACGUACAAGGGAAUUUUUGUCCAACUUGAAAUUAAACACACUUAAUUCAAUAGUCUCAAUCCAAAAUCACUUGAUAAAAUACUCAUAAUGAUUCCUCAUCAUAAUUAUUUAAUCGAAUUUAAUGGGCUGCUUUCGAGACUUGGCUCUCUUUCAAACAUGUAGGAAUGCUCCGGCCAAUAAAUG